GCAAUGGCGUGAUCUCGGCUCACUGCAACCUCCGCCUGCCGGGUUCAAGCAGUUCUCCUGUCUCAGCCUCCGGAGUAGCUGGGAUUACAGAACUAAGAGUAUUUUUAAUACAGUGCUGAAGAGCCAGCUGAACUGGCUUUGUAGAUCAUCCUCAGGAAACUGACAAUCAGGCCUCCUGGAUGACACCAGGGAGCUGAGACUUUAUGGAUGGGAUCACUGCACCCAAUGAGACACACCUGCUGCCUGUCGAACCAACUCCUCUUCCUAGCUCCUCCAUAAUUCCUUUUUUUCCUGCAUGUGAUUACAGUGAGAUGCUAGAUCCCUCAUUCAGCUACCUGCUGCCUAUUGACUAACUCCUCUUCCUUGCCCCCCGCCCC